rnacentral:rRNA from 1 species
CCUGGUGGUUAUGGCGGAGCGGCUGCACCCGAUCCCAUUCCGAACUCGGCCGUGAAACGCUCCAGCGCUGAUGGUACUUCGUCUCAAGA